rnacentral:lncRNA from 1 species
GCAUCAAAAGUCAACCAAAAAAUGUCCAAAUGAAGUGAAAAAAAGUGUAAUAAAAUAAAAGAGGGAAAAAUAAUAAGAGUUUGUGUUGGAAAAAUUUUAAUCAGAAAUAAAAUAAGUGGGAAAAAAAUGAAAUGGAAAAUAAAUAAGUUGAAAAAUAGUAAAAAGAAAAGAAAUAAAAAUAAAAUUAACGCAAAGGGGC